rnacentral:rRNA from 1 species
CCUACGGGUGGCAGCAGUGGGGAAUAUUGGACAAUGGGGGAAACCCUGAUCCAGCGACGCCGCGUGAGUGAAGAAGGAUUUCGGUACGUAAAGCUCUAUCAGCAGGAAAGAAAAUGACGGUACCUGACUAAGAAGCCCCGGCUAACUACGUGCCAGCAGCCGCGGUAAUACGUAGGGGGCAAGCGUUAUCCGGAUUUACUGGGUGGAAAGGGAGCGUAGACGGCAGCGCAAGUCUGGAGUGAAAUGUCGGGGCCCAACCCCGGAACUGCUCUGGAAACUGUGAAGCUGGAGUGCAGGAGAGGUAAGCGGAAUUCCGUGUGUAGCGGUGAAAUGCGUCGAUAUACGGAGGAACACCAGUGGCGAAGGCGGCUUGCUGGACAGUAACUGCCGCUGAGGCGCGAAAGCGUGGGGAGCAAACAGGAUUAGAUACCCCGGUAGUC